CCGUGCGGAAAGCGCCACGCAGCAGAAGGGUCGGCGGCGCGCAAGCCCUGUCGGCUCCGGCGGCCCGAGCGCCCACGGGCGCGGACGAGGCGUCCUCGCAGAGGGGAGGCAGGGAAUGGCGGCCGGACCCCAGCCUUCCUCAGCCGGGGCGCGCCGCCAUGCCGGCCGGGGCUCGCGCUCCCGCGGACGCUCUCUCUCCGGAACCGACGUGCGGGGACGCCGGGGACGCGGGGCCUGGGACGGACCGCCGGCCGGAAGUGACGCGUGACUGGGCGCGCAGGCGCCGUCCGGGACCGGCGGUGGGGGCUGCCAUGGCGCACAUCACCAUCAACCAGUACCUGCAGCAGGUCUACGAAGCAAUCGACACCCGAGAUGGGGCGUCCUGUGCAGAGCUGGUGUCUUUCAAGCAUCCUCAUGUUGCCAACCCACGGCUUCAGAUGGCCUCUCCAGAAGAGAAGUGUCAACAGGUUUUGGAACCCCCUUAUGAUGAAAUGUUUGCCGCUCAUUUACGGUGCACUUACGCGGUGGGGAACCAUGACUUCAUAGAGGCGUACAAAUGUCAGACUGUCAUCGUCCAGUCGUUCCUGCGGGCAUUUCAGGCUCACAAAGAAGAGAACUGGGCUCUGCCUGUCAUGUAUGCGGUGGCACUUGACCUUCGAGUAUUUGCCAAUAACGCAGAUCAGCAGUUGGUGAAGAAAGGAAAAAGCAAAGUCGGGGACAUGUUGGAAAAGGCAGCUGAAUUGUUGAUGAGCUGUUUCCGCGUCUGUGCCAGUGACACUCGCGCUGGUAUAGAGGAUUCUAAGAAGUGGGGGAUGCUGUUUCUGGUGAAUCAGUUAUUCAAGAUUUACUUUAAGAUCAACAAGCUCCAUCUGUGCAAACCCCUAAUCCGAGCCAUCGACAGCUCCAACCUGAGAGACGAUUACAGCACCGCGCAGAGGGUGACGUACAGGUACUACGUUGGGCGGAAGGCUAUGUUCGAUAGUGACUUUAAGCAAGCGGAGGAGUACCUGUCCUUCGCCUUUGAGCACUGCCACCGCUCCAGUCAGAAGAACAAAAGGAUGAUUCUGAUAUACCUGCUUCCAGUGAAAAUGCUGCUGGGUCAUAUGCCAACCAUUGAGCUCUUGAAAAAGUACCAUCUCAUGCAGUUUGCUGAAGUGACCAAAGCUGUAAGCGAAGGCAAUCUCCUCCUGCUGAACGAGGCUCUCACAAAGCACGAGACCUUCUUCAUUCGCUGUGGCAUUUUCCUCAUCCUCGAGAAGCUGAAGAUCAUCACCUACAGGAACCUUUUUAAGAAAGUGUACCUGUUGCUCAGAACACACCAGCUGUCUCUGGACGCCUUUCUGGUUGCCUUGAAAUUCAUGCAAGUGGAAGACGUGGACAUCGACGAGGUCCAGUGUAUUCUGGCCAACCUGAUUUACAUGGGUCACAUUAAAGGCUAUAUCUCCCAUCAGCACCAGAAGCUGGUCGUCAGCAAGCAGAACCCCUUCCCUCCACUGUCCACAGUGUGUUGAUGCGCAGCCCUGAGGAGGGAGCCCAGUGCUCCUCCUGUUUCCAGUCACGCGGACGGAAUCAGUCCUGGGCCGAGACGUCCUCUGCAGCUGCAUCUCGUGGGCUCUUUCUCAGGGAUGCUGAGGCUGGGUCUGCCAGCACACGGAUCCCGUGAAAUCUCCACCCUCGCUCAUAGGUGAUGUCAGCCUCACGGAGACCUGGAGUUCCUUUUCAGAAAACGCAGACGCCUCCAUUGGCUCUGGAGGCGAAGCAAACCACGCCUGAGGGCAGGCGGCGUUCUCGGCGCUAGUCGGCUAGUCUCGCGGUCAAGCGCAGUGGAGCCCAGGGCCAAUUUCUCAUCUAGAAGGUAAGAAGCAAGUUCCAAGGGUAAUUUUCAACUCUAUAUCCUACUAGGCUAGUUAAUUAUUCUCUUUUUCCAAGUUUUUUCUUUAAAUACCAUACCUUAGUUCAAUUAAUAACUUCAGAACUUUUUUAUUGUACCAUAGUAAAGAUCUCAUCGUAUCAGCUUGCCCAAAUCCAUGUGUCUGCAAACGUGUCUGAGCUGUACCCGGAGAAGCUUGCCUCCCAGGUCGUGGCCCCUUGCCCCAUGGAAGCCAGCACUAAUUCAGAUUCAAAUGGCAGCUGCGGGUCCUGAGUGCACAGGGGGACUGAAGACAGCGCGCUUGGCAGAGCUGGAGCACCAUCGUCAUUCCUGAAGGCUAGGCCACACACAGUCACCCCUCCUUCAGCCCCCCUGAGGGGCCGACAGUGAUGAGAAGAAUGCUCCCGGGGUGUAGCCAGGUCAUUCUGGGUAUAAACAGGUGUUUACCUCCCCUCAGUCUCCGUUUGAGUCUGGAGGACCACAGGAGUCACUGAGCUCUGUCGGGUCCGUCCAUCCAGGCCUCCAUCCAGCGGCCAAAUGAUUCUGACGGCCAGACUGGCUUGUAAGUAUCAGGGUGUUCCACACACGCACACAGCCCCUCCCCAAAGGAACCUCGUAAAGCUCUGCUGUCCGAUACGGAAAGUCAUGUGGUUACAGAGCAUUUGCAAUGUGACUGGUCCAAACUAGGAUAUGCUCCAAGGGUACAAUACAGUCCAGAUGUCAGAGAUUUAGUAUGAAGAAAACAUGUAAAUAUCCCAAUUUUUCAUGUUCACUACGUGUUGAAAUAAUAUUUGGAUAUAUUGGGGUAAAUAAAAUACUUAUCAAAAUUCA